CCCAGAGAAUUUGAUGGAGAGUUUUUGUGGCAGUGCUUGCAAGGAGCGUGUUGAGGUGCUGGAGGGAGGAUUUUUCCAGUAAUUUCUCUCCCACUCUGAGCAUAUUACAAGAAAAGAAUCAAAAACUGACUAUGUUGAUUUUCACACAAAUUUUUGUGCCUGGAAGCUGUCAGAAAUACCCUUGUUAUGAAAGAAAAGAGGAAACACCUUGUGUAUUGCCCUUGGAAAUUUUAACUGAUACAUACACAGCUAUUUCUAGCUGCACAUGCUGAAGCUGUGCAGCGGCAAUGUGAGUCCUCUCACAAGAAUAAUGGCAAGUGGAUGACAUGAUUGAAAUAUAUCAGUAGAAAUAUUGCUAUAACCAUGAUACUGUAAAGACAUGAGUCAGAUAUGGGACUUGUUUACAGCUGCCUUCACAAAUUAACACCCCUGUUUUGUGCUCAUGUCUCUCUGCUUUUUUUUCCUCAGGGUCAUCUUGCUACAAGGAAGGGACAACCUAGUAGUAAUGGUAGCUGGGUGCUUUGCUAUUCUAUAACUCUGAUUUUCCCCCCAAAGACUAAAUGGCACAUCUGGGAAGGAUUAGACAAGUUUUCUAGCACAUAGCACCUUUGCUAGGUCUGAAAUCUAGUAGCUGACCAGAGCUAAAAGCAAACCAAACCAGGUGCUCAGAAUUUGUCCUUUCCACAUAUAUUCCUCCUCUAUCUUAAAGUUGCUCUCGGUUACUUCCUCUAGCUGAAGUUAGACAGUAUAAUGCUGAAGCUUGAAAUAUCUGCCUGAAAAUGUGUGUUCAGCAGUGGUAUGUGAGAGUGGGCAUGAGCAAUAAACAGGACAAAUCCACUGUUCUGGGAAGACGGCAAAACCGAAUUGGUGCUAACAGUGAGCUCAGCUACGGGCACAAAGCUGAGAACAAGCAAGCACAAAAUGAAGUGUAUAAGCGUUUAGAAAGUGUGAAUUAUAAAUAAUUUGCUCUUUUGAAAUGUGUUUUGAGUGGGAAACCUCUGCAGUAAGUAAAGUGAUACUACAGUGUCUGUUGCUGCUCAGCUGUUUAUGCAGGACCCUUCCCUCUACUAACAGCAGAGCCAGGGUGGCUCAACAGCCCACCACUCUGCUCCAGUGAAGCCAAACCACCAGCCUCUCCCAGAUUUCUCAAGCCUUCAUCUUCCUUAGAAGGUUCCAGCCUCAUCAGUUUCCCCCACACUUCCCCUCUUAAAAUGUUCCAGCCCUGGACGUGGGAAGCUGUGCACAACUGUGUGCACAGCUGUGUGCCCAGCUUUCCAGUCUGCCACCACGAUGGCUGGAGCUGCUAGCCAAAACCUUGCAAACAGAUUUUUAAUCUUGAUUUUUGGCCUGUUGCAAGCCUUUAAAAACACUCUGUAUCUCAUGCAGAUCUCCAUUGCCUUGAAGCAAACUGGUGGCAGCAGCACAGCCCAGCUUCACAGCAGCCUGUUGUUUUACUGUUUGCACACAGGAUAGAGUAGCUUCAAGUUCUGUUCCAGACUCUCAGAAGAGGCGGACCCUCUGCUGUUUUGUCAGCUUAAUGGAAAUCUAAUGUAUCUUUUUCUUCUCUCCAGAUGUGUUAACAGAUGCACAGAUCCACAGCUUUGUAGCCAGAUCCCUGAAUAAAUGUGCAAAGAUAAGAGUGUGAAGAGCUUUCUCCUGUCCUUUCCAGAACAUGUCCCAGGAUGUUUCAUGAUGUCCCAAUCCCCAAAGCAUCCAUGCUACCUAUCCUGCUGUGCCAUGGGACAUCAUGGUUAGUCUGGGGAGGGAAUACCUGGGGACUAGUAGCCCUCAUGUACCACCUGAGUCCU